GGAGGACUGCUUGAGCCCAGGAGUUUGCAGGUUGCAGGUAGCUAUGAUGAUACCACUGCACUCCAGCCUGAGUGACAGAGCAAGAUCCUGUCUC
rnacentral:miRNA from 1 species